rnacentral:lncRNA from 1 species
AAACUUGUAAAAUGUAAUCGACAUUUGAUGAUGAAUAAAAUUUGUGAUUUAUUUAUGAGUAAAGUGUUACUAUCAUUGUCAAUUAUUUACUAUUGUUUCAGUUUUGCAUGUUUUGACUUCCAGAAUAAUUAAUUUAUUCAAACCUCCACAAUCGGUCAUACGUCGGAAGUAGGUAUGAAUCAAGAUUGUCAUGAAUUGGGUUUGUAGAUGGCUAAAGGUGUUUAGACAUGGCAAUGGUUGCUGCAACGUUCAUGAGUGCUCAUAAGUUAUGAGUAUUGGUAUAAACCCACGCUCACUUGUAUCAGUUCAUGGAAUUUAUCUCGAGUGAUCAUGAGACGAUAAUAUCAUAUAAGUCUUCAAACCUAGAGAUAUGAGUUGUUACCUAUGAGUUGGUUGUGCAUUGAUUGCACGUAAACGCAUCAGUAACUUGAUGUUAUAAAACGUGCCUUUGUGUACAAUUCAACAAGUAGUAGAACAAGCAUAUGAGUCGAAGUUUAUCUGUUCCUUCUAGAAAUAGAAGCGAUAUCUGGGCCCCUCGAUGAUUUUUUUGUGACCUAUGUACCGGCCGGUCAGAACUAAAUUGAUGUGUUCGAUUAAGUUCUUUGUCAAACAAAUCGAAAAUCGGGAAACAAACUGCUGGACAAUAAGUACGACGUUGUUCCAUGUAUUUGUCCGGCUGAUAUCAUGAGAACAGAGGAUUAUAUGAUCACUUGUCUUAAAAUGGCGCUUCAUAGUUCAACAGAGUUUUCGAGAGCUACGAUUGCUGGUUGGUUCCUGAAGUAACAUACGCAAAUAUAGUUAUUAGACUUAUCCAAGUGGGAGUCUGUUGGAUAAGGUGUCUAAGUCCAUAACUUAUUUGGUAUAUACUUGACCCGACCCGGCAUGGUCCAUUUGGGUUGCACUUCACCCGAACUAUUUAUGGAUAAUUUUAUGAGAGUUAUACACAUAUGUUUAUUAAUAUAUUAUAAGUUAUAAUAUAUUAAUAUGAAGUCAUGUUAUUUAAUUAGUCUUAGUCUUAAAUUAAUUAUGAAUUAAUUUAGAGAUUAAAAGGAAGACUAAUUAGAUUAUGGGCUAUUGGUUUUAUAUGGUGUGGGCUAACACUCAUUUGUUAAUGGGCUAGGCUUAUAUGGAAGUCCAUGGAUGAUCCAUGGAGCUUUUAACCCAUGGAUCCUUGGAAAAGGAAAGGUCAUGGGUUAUUAGGGUUUCACCCUAACCAUGUACACUAUAUAAGCAUGCUUAUGUUGCAUGAAAUAGCCACUAGUGUGUGUGCUUGUGUGUGGCCGAAAAUUACAAGUGUGUGUACACUCUCUAAAGGUUUCCAAGUGUUUGUGGUGAUUUGUGAUUUCCAUUUGAGGCAUUCACACUAUUGGUGCUUGGCUCUCAAACUCCAAGGAAUCAAUCUCAUCAAAAGGUAUGUAAUCUCAUCUAACUCUUUUAUGUUUAAAAGUACCCCAUGCCAUGUUAGAUAGGUUAUGAACCUUGGAAAAUUAUUAUUUUGCAUGUAUUAGACAAACAUAGAUCCAAGGUUUAUUAGGGUUGCAUGCACACUUAGGAAGUGUUAGAUUGCUCAAAACCCAACAAAAACACCUCACGAGAUGUGGACUAAAAAGUUCCCAAUACAGAUCACAUCAAGAUUUAGGGUUGCGAGGCUUUUGUGAGGCGCGAGACUCACGAUAAGCUCGAACCUCAAAGUGAGAGGUGUAUUCUCAUCGGCUACUCACAUAAAUCCUUUGGUUACCUCUUCUACAUACCCAAUGAUAAUGUGGUCUUUGUAGCAAGGAGAGGAGUCUUUUGUGAGAGAGAGUUCAUAAGCCAAGGAAACAGUGGGAGGCAAAUUGAUCCUGAAGAAAUUCAAGAGUCAAGCGGUGAAGGAACUUCAAACUCUNCUCAAACCCUAGAAAUCAAUCUGAGGAGAAAACUCCUGUUGAUCCGACCAAUGAGUUUGUACCUAUGAGGCGUUCCACGAGAGUUAGGAAUGCACCUGAGCAUUACUAUGUUUUCCAUAUGACUAUAGAAGGUGAUACACUUAUCAGCGAUAAUACACUGGUAAGUAUGGAUGAACCUAACAGCUACACAGAAGCCAUGGCAGGCCCUGAUGCUGAUAAAUGGAAAGAGGCUAUGGAAAGCGAGAUUCAAUCCAUGUAUGAUAAUCAAGUUUGGAACUUGGUUGACAAUGUACCUGGUNAAGACCGUCGGGUGCAAAUGGAUCUUCAAGAAGAAGACCGACAUGGAUGGUAAUAUACACACUUAUAAGGCACGAUUGGUUGCAAAGGGCUUUUCUCAAACUGCUGGAGUUGAUUAUCAUGAGACCUUUUCACCAGUAGCGAAGAUUAAGUCUAUCAGGAUUAUGUUAGCCAUUGCUGCAUUUCAUGACCAUGACAUAUGGCAAAUGGAUGUCAAAACCGCUUUCCUUAAUAGAAAGUUGGCUGAGGAUGUUUACAUGAGUCAACCAGAGGGUUUUGUCAGUGCAGAGUACCAUAAUAGAGUGUGUAAGCUUGAGAAAUCCAUCUAUGGAUUAAAACAAGCACCUCGUAGAUGGAAUCUUUGUUUCGAUGAGAAAGUCAAAGAGUUUGGCUUUUCGAGGAGCAAAUAUCAAUCUUGUGUAUAUGUCAAGGCUAGUGGGAGUAUAGUUAUCUUUUUGGUAUUGUAUGUGGAUGACAUACUACUCAUAGGAAAUGACAUCCUAACUCCGCAGGAAGUGAAGUCCUGGCUUGGGAAGUGUUUCUCUAUGAAGGACCUUGGAGAAGCUGCCUAUAUCCUAGGGAUAAUAAUUUUUAGAGACAUGAGUAAAAGACUAAUUGGACCUAGUCAGAGCACCUAUGUGGAUAAAGUGUUGAAAAGGUUCAACAUGCAGAACUCCAAGAAAGGUGAGUUACCAAUCCAGAGUAAUGCCAGAUUGAGUAAGACUCAGAUCUCGAGUACAGAGGUUGAGAUAGCAGAGAUGACUCGAGUUCCGUAUGCUUCCACUGUAGGCUCGAUCAUGUAUGCUAUGACUUGUACUCAUUCGGAUGUGGCCUUUGCAUUAAGCAUGGUCAGUAGAUAUCAAGGGAAUCCUAGCAAGGAUCACUGGACUGUGUUAAAGAACAUUCUCAAGUACCUGCGGAGGACUAAGGACUAGGUCCUUACCCUCGGUGGGAGUGAUGACUUGAGAGUUGUAGGGUAUAGUGAUUCUAGCUUCCAGACUGAUAGGGAUAAUUUCCGCUCUCAUUCAGGCUUGGUCUUUACGUUAAACGGAGGAGCAAUUACUUGGAAAAGUUCCAAGAAAAAGACAGUGGUUGAUUCAACUUGCGAAUCCGAGUACAUAGCGACAAGCGAGGCAGCAAAGGAGGAUAUAUGGCUAAAGAACUUCAUUGGAGACCUUGGAGUUGUACCAGCUAUAAAGGAGCCUAUAGAGAUUUUCUGUGAUAGUGAAAGUGCAGUUGCCCUAACCAAGGAACCAAGGGAUCACGGGAGAUCCAGACACAUCAACAGAAAAUGCCAUUUCAUCAGACAUCGAAUAGAAGAAAGACUCCUCAUGGCAAAGAGGGUAUCAUUGGAUGAGAACCCAGCAAAUCCCUUCACAAAGGUACUGGCUAGGGUUAAGCAUCUCCAGCAUGCGAGGCGCAUAGGGCUGAAGGAUGAUAUUAGUUUUAGUAAUUGUAUAGUUUCUGAAAUGUGUAAAGUGUAAUUGACAUUUGAUGAUGAAUAAAAGUUGUUGUUGAUUUAUGAGUAAAGUGUUGCUAUCUUUUAUCAAUCGUUUAAUAUCGUUUCAUUUUGCAUGUUUUGACUUCCAGAAUAAUUAUGUUAUACCAUUUCAUAUUAUUCAAAUUCUCCACAGUCGAUCAUAUGUUGGAAGUAGAUAUGAAUCAAGAUGAUCAUGAAGUUGGUUGUAGAUAUAUAAGAUGUUGGACAUAGCAAAUUGUUGCUACAACACUCAUGAGUGCUCAUAAGUUCUAAGUAUUGGAUUCAACCUACGCUCGCUUGUAUCACUUCAUGGAAUUUAUCUUGAGUUAUCGUGAGACGGUAAUAUCAGAUAAGUCUUCAAACCUAGAGAUAUGAGUUGUUGCCUAUGAUUUGGUUAUAUAUUGAUUGUACAAAAACACAUUGGUAACUCGAUGUUAUAAAACAUGCCUUUGUGUAUGAUUCAACAAGUAGUAGAACAAGCAUAUGAGUCGAAGUUUAUUUAUUCCUUCUUGAAUUAGAAGCGAUAUCUGGGCCCCUCGAUGAUUUCGUGUUGACCCAUGUACCAGGCCCGAUUAGAACUAAGUUGAAGUGUUCAAUUAAGUUCUAUGUCAAACAAAUCGGAAAUCGAGAAACAAACUGUUGGACAAUAAGUAAGACAUUGUUCCAUGUAUUUGUCCGUCUGAUAUCUAGAACAGAGGACUAUAUGAUCCCUUAUCUAAAAUGGUGCUUCAUAGUUCCACAGAGUUUUAAGAGCUACGAUUGCCGGUCGGUUCCUGAAGUCAUAAUUGCAACUAUAGUUAAUAGACUUAUCCAAGGGAGAGACUGUUGGAUAAGGUGUCUAAGUCCAUAACUAUAUUUGAGAUGUACUUGACCCGACCCGACAUGCUUCACUUGGGUUGCAUUUCACCCGAGCAAUUUAUAUGGAUAAUCUUUUGAGAAUAGUAUAAGUUAUGAUUUAUUAAUAUAUUAUAAGUUCUAAUAUAUUAAUAAGAAAUCAUAUUAUUUAAUUAGUAUUGAUCUAAAAUUAAUUUAGAAUAAAUUUAGUGAACAAAAGUGUGACUAAUUAAAUAUGGACUCUUGUAUUUAUAUAAUGUGGGCUUAAUGCUUAUUUAGAAUGGGCUAGGCUUGCAUGGUAAGUCCAUGGAUAGUCCAUGGAGCUUUAACCCAUGGAUCUCAUGGAAAUGAAAGGUCAUGGGUAUUAGGGUUUACAUGGAUGUAACCCUAAUCCACAACAUUAUAUAAAGGAGUCCUUGGCACUUGAAAUGGCACUAGUUUUUGUGUGAGAACAAGGGUGGGCUGAUUUCAAGAAGAGUUCUACUAUUAUCUCAAGUUUCCAAGGUUUUGUGGUGAUUUGUGAAUUCCAUUUGAGGCAUCCACAUGAUUGGUGUAAGGCUCUCAAACUCCAAGCAAUCAACCACUACUAAAAGGUAUGUAACUCUACUAGUUUAUUAUGUUUCAAAGUUCCCCAUGCCAUGCUCGUUAGGUUAAGAACCUUGGAAAAGAAAAUUUACAUGUAUCAUAGUAAAACAUAGAUCCAAGGUUUCUAGGGUUGCAUGUGCACCAUAGGAGUGUUAGAAUGCUCAAAACCCUUCACCUUAAGUUUCAAUUAGAGUUUUUUGAGAAUAAGGACAGAUGAAACCUGAUCAUCUGCAAGUUUUUCCUUAAGCUUCAUAAGCUUUUCAAGCAUAGAAUUUGUUGAGGAUAAAUCUCAACUUAGAAAAGAAAUUAGGAUGGUUGUUGACUUCUAAAGAUAAGAUUCUUCAUUCACGAGGAUCUAUAGCGAUAAGGAUCCUUAAUGAUGAGAAUCCUUAGUGAUGAUAUCAUACGGGGGAAUUCCCUUCUUAGGAGAAUCUAUUUAGGUUAUAGACUUUGACAAUAUUCUUUGGUAAUAUCCUAAAUGCAACAUGUUAAUGUUAUAUACUGGGGAGGAUCCCAAUUUGUGACGUAUCUCAAGGGAAAUAUCCAUACUUAUGAAAAUGUUAUGAUUCAUGUCAAUGUGUGACAACAUGAAGAUGUCAUAACCUUAUGUAAUUUCUGGGGUAAUAUCCCAACUUUUGAUAACAUGAAAAUGUCAUAAGCCUUAAGUAAUCAUCAGGGUAGGAUCCCAAUUUUUGGAUAACAUGAAAAUGUUAUAAACGUUAAGGAUCUUAACUUAUGUUGAAAGAUAAGAGGGUUGCCAAGCCACUACAUCAUGAAAUGAUCUCCUUAAUGGUAUCCCAUAGAUAGAUAUCAUGCGUUCAAGUGAGGCGUAUAAACCUUAGUUCGCAUGAAAGAGGUGAUUAACUCCUUAAACCUUAGAGGGGAUUAAGUACCCUUAAGCAUAUGAUAGAUUAUCAAUCUCUAGCUUGUGUAUAUAAUCGUUUAAAGAUCAUACCGUUGAUAUAAUGGAAUUGUUCAAGUCUUAGUAUGUUGAGAUCUUUGUUUGUUAAGAUCCUUAUGUUUCAAGAUCUUCAACCUCGAGGAAUCUUUAUGUUUCGGGAUCUUGGAGAUCCUUAUGUUUCAAGAUCUUCAACCCUGAGGAUCCUCGUGUUCCAGGAUCUUCAACCUUGAGGAUCCUCAUGUUUGAGGAUCAUUUCUUAAGGAGAUCCUUAGUUGUAUGUUGUUCUGCAUAGCAAACAUUAGCUAGGGGUGGUCAUUAGUCUAGCUAACACCCCUACGAUGCUUAAGUUAGUAAUGUAUUCGAGGAGAAAAUAAGCAAUGAUGAAAAGUUUAAGGUAAAGAACAUGUGCACCUUGGUUUUAUUAAAGAUCAAUCAACCAAAUUUGUAUAUAGUAUGCUUUGAGAUGUAUAACAUUCCAGGUCUUGGAAAAAUGUUUCCUUUGUGUGUUGCUAGCCAAUAUGAUCCUUUUUCCUGCUUUAGCAUCUAUGAGAUACGGUCCUUCCCACUUAGGAGCUAAUUUACCAACACUAGGAUCCUUGGUGUUUUGGAAUGUUUUCCUUAAUACAAAGUCUCCUAUUUGGAAUCUUAUGACUUUUACGCUCUUGUUGUAAGCCUUGGUGAUCCUUUGUUGAUGAAGAGCAAUGCUUAUCUUGGCAAGAUCUUUGAGUUCAUCAAAAGUUUCAAGAUCCUAGGCUAGGAUCCUGUCAUUGUUUUUAUUUUUAUUUUGGAGCAAGUAUCUUGUCUUCGGGAUCACUACUUCGGUAGGGAUCAUUGCUUUUGUCUCGAACACCAAGGAAUAAGGGGUCUGACCUGUUUCUAUUUUGGAAAUGGUCCUAUCUGCCCACAGGACGAAAGGAAGCUCUUCUGCCCAUCUUCCUUUCUUCUUAUCAAGCCUUUUCUUAAAAUUGUUUACUGUGAUCUUAUUUCUAUAUUCUACUUGACCAUUAGCUUGGGGAUGGACAGGAGUGGACAUUAUCAUUCUGAUUCCCUAACUCGUGCAAAACUCUCUUAUUCUUUUGCUUAUGAAUUAGGAUCCAUUGUCGCAUAUGAUUUCAACCGGGAUGUCGAACCUAGUCAAGAUAUUACGUUUAAUAAACGAGGCUACCUCUUUAUCUCUUACCUAAACGAAGGCUUCAACUUCGAUCCACUUGGAAAAGUAAUCAGUCAUCACCAACAUGAAGAGUUUUCCUCCUGGAGCCAUUGGUAAAUUUCCCACUAUAUCCAUUCCCCAUUUCAUGAAUGGCCAUGGAGAGAUAAUAGGAUAUAGAGGCUUUGCCGGUUGAUACAAGAUGUUGCUAUGUCUUUGGCAAGCAUCACACUUUUAAGCAUGUACAAAAGAAUCUCUCUUCAUGGUUGGCCAGUAGUAUCCUAAUCUCAAUGCCUUGGAGCAUAAGGAUUUCCCCCAGUGUGAUUGCCAUAGUCUCAUUCAUGUAUGUCCUUCAAGACUUCUGCAGCUUCAGAAUCUACCAGGCAUGUGAAAUAUGGACCUGCCAUAGAUUGUUUUUAUGGAAAUUACCUUGGAUUAUUACGAAUCUUGAGACUCUUUUUUUGAAUGCUCUUUCGCUUUUUUCCUCUGUUGGGAUUGUACCAUUUUAAAGAUAUUCCAUAUUGGGUUGGAGUCAUAAUCGAGGACUUCUUUGAGGAUCCUAUUCGUCGGGAUCACUUCGAGGAGGGAUUUGAGGAUCAGGAUCUUCGAUGGCUGCUACGCUUAUUGGUUGUUCAAGAUUAUCAGAUUUUUCGGAAAAGGCUUCUAUAGCUGGAGUUAUUAUGUGGGUUAUAGGGAUCUUCGUUUCUGGUGGGAUUCGUAGGGAGGAUCCUAAGUUGGCUAAUGUGUCUGCUUCUGUUUUUUCUUCUCAGGGAACUUCGGUUAGGUUAAAUGUUGGGAAUUAGAGUUGCGUCAUUGUGUUAUAUUUAAUAGUCUAUUUAUGUAAACGGGCUUGGGCUUUUCCACCUGUCUUUAUUUAAUAGGGUUAUAGUAUUCAAGGUGCAUACAUGCACCAUGCUUUCUGUAAUCUAGGAAAUAGUCUUGUAACCCUACACGCCUCUACAGUAACAAUUCUUCAUCGAGUUCUUUUGAGGCAUGACUUUGAAUCAUUAAGCACAUUUUGAUCCAUUCUUGUGUUCCUAUUUUCUUUUACCUGUUUAAAUCUUUCAAUCUUUAAAGAUUUAAUCUCAACAAUUGGUAUCAGAGUAGGAGACUAUUUAAUCUAUACACAUCUCUUCUGUUGAAAGAAGCUCUUUAGGGUUUCCGCUAUUAUUGGAUCUGGUUUCAGCUGUUAUCAUUGUUUGUUCAUCUGUUGAUGAUGAUUUUGAUCUUAAUAUUACCCUAAUAUUGUUUACACAUUUGAUUCAUACAGGUUUUGAUCCAUAUACAAACUGUUGAGAGUUAUACACAUAUGUUUACACAUUGCAUUUCACCCGAACAAUUUAUGGAUAAUUUAUGAGAGUUAUACACAUAUGUUUAUUAAUAUAUUAUAAGUUAUAAUAUAUUAAUAUGAGGUUAUGUUAUUUAAUUAGUCUUAGUCUUAAAUUAAUGAUGAAUUAAUUUAGAGAUUAAAAGGAAGACUAAUUAGAUUAUGGGCUAUUGGUUUUAUAUGGUGUGGGCUAACACUCAUUUGUUAAUGGGCUAGGCUUGGAGGGAAGUCCAUGGAUGAUCCAUGGAGCUUUUAACCCAUGGAUCCUUGGAAAAGGAAAGGUCAUGGGUUAUUAGGGUUUCACCCUAACCAUGUACACUAUAUAAGCAUGCUUAUGAUGCAUGAAAUGGCAACUAGUGAACUAGUGUGUGUGCUUGUGUGUGGCCGAAAAUAUAAGUGUGUGUACACUGUCUCAAAGUUUUCCAAGAGUUUGUGGUGAUUUGUGAUUCCAUUUGAGGCAUUCACACUAUUGGUGCUUGGCCUUCAAACUCCUUAAGAAUCAAACUCAUCAAAAAGGUAUGUAAUCUCUUCUAACUCUUUUAUGUUGAAAUGUUCCCCAUGCCAUGUUAGAUAGGUUAUGAACCUUGGAAAAUUAUUAUUUUGCAUGUAUUUAGACAAACAUAGAUCCAAGGUUUAUUAGGGUUGCAUGCACACUUAGGAAGUGUUAGAUUGCUCAAAACCCAACAGUGGUAUCAGAGCCUAGGCUUGCUUGUUUGAUACUUGAUGCAAAAUAGUGGAAAAAGUCGAAAACGUUGCUGUCUGCAUGCUAGACUCGCCGAGUCCAUUGGGGGGACUCGCCGAGUCCAAGGCAAACUUCAACCUACUCGACGAGUCCGUUCGUGCACUCGGCGAGUAGGAUCGAAAGAAUGCAGAAUCUCGACUUUUGCUGCUGGAAAUGGACUGGAAACAUUACCCUAAAUUGUUUUGGUGUUGUAAAACUUAUUUUAGUUGGUGUAAUGGUUGUUCUAAUCCAUUUACAAUAGCAUAUAUCAAAAAUCCAUGAUUUUAUGUGUUCAUAUAAUUCUUGAAUUUUUGAUGAUCAUGUUCAUGUUCUUAUGAAUUUAGAAAAUGAUAGGAAUUAUUUGCUGAAUUGUUUAGAAUUAAUUCUUAAUCAUUUAUGUGUUUUAAUGGAGUCCAUAAUUUGUCCUCAAGUUAUGGAUUACCAAAGGUCACUUUCAUUUAACACACACUUAAAACACAUAAGUUACAUGAAAAUGAAGAGUCUUCAUUUUUAUGAACCUUUAAUUCAUAAGUUAUGAAAUGAAGAGUUUUGCAAAGUUACAAAACUUGUCCUCAAGUUUUGGAAUUUGUAAAGUUUCACACACUUUAAUAAACUUUAAUUCCAAACCUUAGAGUUUUAAUAGUUAAAAUUCAACCCUUAUACUAUUUAUAACAUUAAUGGUUAAUUAUUAUAUAUAUGUAUAAGAAUAAGUCGUUUUACCGUUAGUAGGCCUCAUUCACGAAGCCGGUCUAUAAGGUGGGUAUAAGGUUGUUGCCUAUAAAAUGGCGACUUAAUGGGUGUAUACUCUCACCCACCGCUUGCUUGAUCGGUGGAGGGUCGUUAGCCGAACGGGUAGAACAACGACUUUAAAUCCUCAUUAAAAGUAUAAUGAAUAUUAUAAAAUAACUAAACUCUUUUAAUUCCCAAUCUUAGUUAUUUUAGGAAAAUGUGAACAUGGUGCUAAUCCAUGGAAUUCACACUUUGUACCUUACCAAGUCGUUAGUGGAGCGUGUGUGGUUAACCGGCACACUAAUUAGACUAGUAAGGAUCACGAAGGGUAACUUAAUGUUGUCAUAGAUCAAUGGAGCGUGUGUGGUUAACCGGCACAUUGAUUAGGUGAUAAUAUUAGGAGUACCAAGUGAGUUAGCAUGGUUAUUCACACCUUGUUUUGUGAUCCUCGGCAUCCCAGUCACAAAACUUGAAGGGCACAAUCGAGAUUGAAACAUGCCAUUGAAAAGUUCAAUGAAUCUCAAAAGAAUCUAGGAAUUUCAAAUCCAAUUAAACCUAAUUAAUCAUUUCGUUUUCAUGGUGGAAAUUGGUGAAUCGUCAUUCGCCUACCUUUCAAAUAUAUUAUUACUUAGAUUACGGCAUCCCUCUUCUAAGUGUAAUAUAUUGUGAUUGGAUCCUAGCCUUAAUAUUACAUUUGGGUGUCUUAUUAAGGAUCCUAAAUAUCUAAUCUAAACUUACUUUCUUCUUUCAGAUGUCUUCCAACACUAAUGCUUCAGGCUCUAACCCAACUGGUUCUUUCUCUCUCAUGAAUCUUUGUGGGAGGGUCAUCUUUGAUGGUUCCAACUUCAUGGAUUGGAUUAGGAACAUCAGGAUGGUUACUCGUUACGAGGACAAGGAAUAUGUCCUCGAUAAGGAGUUAAAAGAACUUGAUGAGUCUACUGCUACUCCUGAGGAGAUCGCUGAAUUCAGGACUCAUGAGAGAGAUGCUACUAAGGUGGCAUGUAUCAUGAUGGCCACGAUGACAGCCGAGCUCCAAAAGUCAUAUGAAGAUUUCUACCCUUUUGAGAUGCACCAAGACUUGAUGGAAAGGUACCAUCAGAGUGCUCGUCAGGAGCGGUAUGAAAUAAUCUCCUCCAUAAUAACUACCCGCAUGAAGGACGGUGAAUCCGUCACGGGCCACAUGCAAAAGAUGCAAAGGUAUGUGGACCGUUUGCUGAAGCUGAAUGUUAACAUCCCCGAGGAGUUAGCAAUUGACAUCAUUUUGCACUCCUUGCCUUCUUGUUAUGAUCAUUUUCGAAUGACAUAUCAUAUGAACAAGGAGGAAGUUACCCUCAGCAAGCUUCAAGNUUGAUGAAGCUAAAUGUGAACAUCCCUGAGGAGUUGGCAAUUGACAUCAUUUUGCACUCCUUACCUUCUUGUUAUGACCAAUUUCGUAUGACAUUUCAUAUGAAUAAGGAGGAAGUUACCUUCAACAAGCUUCAAGGACUCUUGAAGACCGCGGAAACCGGUCUUAAGGGCAAGGCAGUUGUUACCUCUACUACUCCUACUCCAACAUCUACCCCUGUUUUGGCUAUCGGGCAAGGCAAAGGGAAAAAGAGGAAGCACCCUUCGAAGGGUACCAAGGGAAAGUCUCUUGAAGGCUCCUCAUCCAAGACUAAGAACGGUUCUGUCACUCCUUCUGCCAUUCCAAAGGAUGCUGAAUGCUUUUAUUGCCAUGAAAAGGCACACUGGAAGCGAAACUGCCCUAAGUACUUGCAGGAUCUAAAGGAUGGGAAAGUGAAACCCACCUAUGCAGGUAUUUACACUAUAUUGUCUAAUUACUCAACAUAUUCUAACUCUUGGGUGCUUGAUACAGGAUGUGGUAUUCACAUAUGUUCUGAUUUGCAGGGCCUAAGAAGAAGUGAGGAUGUGGAGCACGGGAAGAUAAACUUAAUCAUGGGGAAUAGGAAGGCUUCACCUGUUUCCAAGAUUGGAGUUUAUACUUUGUUGCUUAAUAAUGGGUUAAAAUUAGAUUUGAAUAAAUGUGUAUACUCGUCUGAAAUGGCGAGGAAUAUUAUUUCUUUUCAUGCUUUGUACAAACAAGGUUUUACCUUUUCGUUUGAUAAUGAAUGUGGUGGUAUUAAUGCUUUCUUUAAUAAUGUGUUUUAUUUUAAAGCAUUACCUUGUGAUGGCGUGUAUGAAACUGUGUCGAUUGUAGACAACUUAGGAAAUAAUGUGUUGUAUAUUGAUUCUUCUACUAGCCUAGAUAAAGCAUCAUUGUGGCAUUGUCGUCUUGGACAUGUAAACAAGAAACGCAUAGACCAACUCCAAAAGAGUGGAGUCUUGGAAUCAUUUGACCUCAAAUCAGAUGAUAGUUGUGAAUCUUGUCUACUUGGAAAAAUGACAAAAUCACCCUUCACUGGAACUUGUGAGAGGGGUGAAGGUUUGUUGGACCUAAUACAUACUGAUGUAUGUGGGCCAUUCAAAACCGCCACAAGGGACGCUAAUCGGUAUUAUGUGACUUUUAUUGAUGAUUAUAGUAGAUAUGGGUAUGUCUACUUGAUCAAACACAAGUCCGAAACCUUUGAAAGGUUUAAGGAAUUCAAACAGGAAGUAGAAAAUCAAUUGGGCAGGAACAUUAAGAUGCUUCGAUCCGAUCGAGGUGGUGAGUAUCUUAGUACCGAGUUCCUUGACUAUCUUAAGGAGUGUGGGAUUGUCUCACAAUUGACUCCUCCCAGGACACCACAGCUGAAUGGUGUAGCUGAGAGGCGUAAUCGUACCUUGUUGGACAUGGUUCGCUCUAUGAUGAGUCGAGUUUCGUUACCAAUCUCUUUUUGGGGGUAUGCCUUAGAGACUGCCGCCCAUAUCCUUAAUCUAGUCCCUACAAAGAAGGUUACCAAAACACCUCAUGAGAUGUGGACUGGGAAGGUUCCCAAUUUGGACCACAUCAAAAUUUGGGGUUGCGAAGCCUUCGUGAGGCGUGAAACUCAUGAUAAGCUUGAACCCCGAAGUGAAAGGUGUAUUUUCAUCGGCUACCCACAGAAAUCCUUCGGUUACCUUUUCUACAGACCCAGUGAGAAUGUGGUCUUUGUAGCACGAAGAGGGAUCUUUCGCGAGAAAGAAUUUAUAAGCCAAGGAGACAGUGGGAGGCAGAUUGAUCUUGAAGAAAUUCAAGAAUCAAUUGGUGAAGGAACCUCAGACACUAGCAAUCAACCUGAGGAAGAAACUCCUGUUGAUCCAGCUGACGAGUCUGUACCUCCGAGACGUUCCACACGGGUUAGGAACACACCUUCGUUUUAUUAUGGUUUUCAUAUUACUACGGAAGGUGAUACGUUUAUUAGUGAUAGUACACUAGUAAAUUUGGAUGAACCUAGCAGUGUUAAGGAAGCCAUGGCAGGCCCGGAGUCUGCUAAAUGGAAGGAGGCUAUGGACAGCGAGAUACAGUCCAUGUAUGACAAUCAAGUUUGGAACUUGGUUGACAAUGUACCAGGCCGUAAAACAGUCGGGUGCAAAUGGAUCUUCAAAAAGAAGACCGACAUGGAAGGAAAAGUGCAUACUUAUAAGGCUCGACUGGUUGCGAAGGGUUUUACUCAAACUCAAGGUAUUGAUUAUGAUGAAACCUUCUCGCCGGUGGCCAAGAUUAAGUCUAUUAGGGUUAUGUUAGCCAUUGCAGCAUUUCAUGAUUAUGAAAUAUGGCAAAUGGAUGUCAAAACCGCUUUCCUUAAUGGAAAGUUGGCUGAGGAUGUGUACAUGAAUCAGCCAGAGGGUUUUGUCAAUGCAGAGUACCCUAAUAGAGUAUGCAAGCUUAAGAAAUCCAUUUAUGGAUUAAAACAAGCAUCUCGUAGCUGGAAUCUUUGUUUUGAUGAGAAGGUAAAAGAGUUUGGCUUCUUGAGAAGCGAAGAUGAGUCUUGCGUGUAUGUCAGAGCUAGUGGGAGUAUAGUUAGCUUCUUGGUACUGUAUGUGGAUGACAUACUACUCAUAGGAAAUGACAUCCCAACCUUGCAGGAGGUUAAGUCCUGGCUUGGGAAGUGCUUUGCUAUGAAGGACCUAGGGGAGGCUACCUAUAUCCUAGGGAUAAGGAUAUUAAGAGAAAGGAGUAGAAGACUAAUUGGACUUAGUCAGAGUAUCUACUUGGAUAAGGUGUUGAAAAGGUUCAACAUGGAGAAUUCCAAGAAAGGAGAUUUACCGAUCCAAAGCAAUACCAAACUGAGUAAGACUCAGAGUCCGAGUACAGAGGCUGAGAUAGCUGAGAUGAGCCAAUUACCAUAUGCUUCCGCAGUUGGCUCGAUCAUGUAUGCUAUGACUUGUACCCGUCCUGAUGUGGCAUUUGCUUUGAGCAUGGUCAGCAGGUAUCAGGGGAACCCUGGCAAGGCUCAUUGGACCGCGGUAAAGAACAUUCUCAAGUACCAGCAGAGGACUAAGGAUUGGAUCCAUACUCUUGGUGGGAGUGAUGACUUGAGAGUAUUAGGGUAUAGUGAUGCUGGUUUUUAGACUGAUAGGGAUAACUUCCGCUCUCAGUCGGGCUGGGUCUUUACCUUAAAUGGAGAGGAAAUUUCUUGGAAGAGUUCCAAGCAGGAGACGAUGGCUGAUUCGACUUGUGAAUCAGAGUAUAUAGCAGCGAGUGAAGCAGCGAAGGAGGCGAUAUGGCUAAAGAACUUCAUCGGAGACCUUGGAGUUGUACCAGCUAUUAAGGAACCUAUAGAAAUUUUCUGUGACAACAAUGCUGCGGUUAUCUUAGCCAAGGAACCAAGAGAUCAUGGCAGAUCCCGACACAUUGACAGAAAAUAUCACUUUAUAAGACACAAGAUUGAAGAGGGACUCCUCGUGACAAGGAGAAUAUUGUCGGAUGAGAAUCCUGCACAUCCCCUUACGAAGGGACUGACGAGGGUUAAGCAUUUUCAGCAUGCGAGGCGCAUCGGGCUGAGGGACGAUAUUAGUUUUACAGAUUAGAUAGUUUUCCUGAAACUUGUAAAAUGUAAUCGACGUUUGAUGAUGAAUAAAAUUUGUGAUUUAUUUAUGAGUAAAGUGUUACUAUCAUUGUCAAUUAUUUACUAUUGUUUCAGUUUGUGCAUGUUUUGACUUCUAGAAUAAUUAAUUUAUUCAAACCUCCACAAUCGGUCAUACCUUGGAAGUAGGUAUGAAUCAAGAUUGUCAUGAAUUGAGUUUGUAGAUGGCUAAAGGUGUUUAGAGAUGGCAAUGGUUGUUGCAACAUUCAUGAGUACUCAUAAGCUAUGAGUAUUGGUAUAAACCCACGCUCACUUGUAUCACUUCAUGGAAUUUAUCUCGAGUGAUCGUGAGAUGAUAAUAUCAUAUAAGUCUUCAAACCUAGAGAUAUGAGUUGUUACCUAUGAGUUGGUUGUGCAUUGAUUGCACGUAAACGCAUCAGUAACUUGAUGUUAUAAAACGUGCCUUUGUGUACAAUUCAACAAGUAGUAGAACAAGCAUAUGAGUCGAAGUUUAUCUAUUCCUUCUAGAAAUAGAAGCGAUAUCUGGGCCCCUCGAUGAUUU